UGGGGAAUCUUCCGCAAUGGACGAAAGUCUGACGGAGCAACGCCGCGUGAACGAUGAAGGUCUUCGGAUUGUAAAGUUCUGUGAUCCGGGACGAAGGCAUCAGUUGAGAACAUUGAUUGAUGUUGACGGUACCGGAAAAGCAAGCCACGGCUAACUACGUGCCAGCAGCCGCGGUAAUACGUAGGUGGCAAGCGUUGUCCGGAAUUAUUGGGCGUAAAGCGCGCGCAGGCGGCCGUGCAAGUCCAUCUUAAAAGCGUGGGGCUUAACCCCAUGAGGGGAUGGAAACUGCAGGGCUGGAGUGUCGGAGGGGAAAGUGGAAUUCCUAGUGUAGCGGUGAAAUGCGUAGAGAUUAGGAAGAACACCGGUGGCGAAGGCGACUUUCUAGACGACAACUGACGCUGAGGCGCGAAAGCGUGGGGAGCAAACA
rnacentral:rRNA from 1 species